GAAACUGUCAGUGUCAGAAAAUGGCUGCAGCAAGAAUCUUAGCUAGCAGACAUAAUUACAACUUCAGUACAAAAUGUGCACUAGUGCCUGCCCGAUGCCAUGAGGGCCAGCAUGGCAUGCCACCCCAAUGUAUGGAAACCAGCCACAAGGAAAAUUAUAAACUGA
rnacentral:lncRNA from 12 species